UACGGAGGGUGCAAGCGUUAUCCGGAUUUAUUGGGUUUAAAGGGUCCGUAGGCGGAUCUGUAAGUCAGUGGUGAAAUCUCACAGCUUAACUGUGAAACUGCCAUUGAUACUGCAGGUCUUGAGUGUUAUUGAAGUAGCUGGAAUAAGUAGUGUAGCGGUGAAAUGCAUAGAUAUUACUUAGAACACCAAUUGCGAAGGCAGGUUCUAAGCAACAACUGACGCUGAUGGACGAAAGCGUGGGGAGCGAACAGG
rnacentral:rRNA from 1 species